UACGAAGGGGGCUAGCGUUGCUCGGAAUCACUGGGCGUAAAGGGUGCGUAGGCGGGUCUUUAAGUCAGGGGUGAAAUCCUGGAGCUCAACUCCAGAACUGCCUUUGAUACUGAGGAUCUUGAGUUCGGGAGAGGUGAGUGGAACUGCGAGUGUAGAGGUGAAAUUCGUAGAUAUUCGCAAGAACACCAGUGGCGAAGGCGGACUCACUGGCCCGAUACUGACGCUGAGGCACGAAA
rnacentral:rRNA from 1 species